UCUGGGUCCACCUCCCACCCGUGUUUAUUUUACCUUGUUGCUUCGGCGGGCCCGCCUUAACUGGCCGCCGGGGGGCUCACGCCCCCGGGCCCGCGCCCGCCGAAGACACCCUCGAACUCUGUCUGAAGAUUGUAGUCUGAGUGAAAAUAUAAAUUAUUUAAAACUUUCAACAACGGAUCUCUUGGUUCCGGCAUCGAUGAAGAACGCAGAUCAUUACCGAGGGAGGGCCUCUGGGUCAACCUCCCACCCGUGUUUAUUUUACCUUGUUGCUUCGGCGGGCCGCCUUAACUGGCCGCCGGGGGAGCUCA
rnacentral:misc_RNA from 1 species